CCCUUAGAUGUUCUGGGCCGCACGCGUGUUACACUGAGUGGAUCAGCGGGUCAGGUUGCGCGAAAGCGUUUCCUAAUCUUUAAAUCCGCUCGUGAUGGGGAUUGACGGUUGCAAUUUUCUGUCAUGAACGAGGAAUACCUUGUAAGCGCGGGUCAUCAUCCCGCGCUGAAUACGUCCCUGCCCUUUGUACACACCGCCCGUCGCUCCUACCGAUUGAGUGGUCCGGUGAGGCUUUGGGAUCUGAGCGGAAAGAGCGUUUCGCUGUUUCUGCUCGGAAAACUCAGUCGAACCUUAUCAUUUAGAGGAAGGAGAAGUCGUAACA
rnacentral:rRNA from 1 species